rnacentral:rRNA from 1 species
AUUGAACGCUGGCGGAAUGCUUUACACAUGCAAGUCGAACGGCAGCACGGACUUCGGUCUGGUGGCGAGUGGCGAACGGGUGAGUAAUAUAUCGGAACGUAUCCAAUAAUGGGGGAUAACUAAUCGAAAGGUUGGCUAAUACCGCAUACGUCCUACGGGAGAAAGCUAGGGACCUUCGGGCCUGGCGUUAAUGGAGCGGCCGAUAUCGGAUUAGCUAGUUGGUGAGGUAAAGGCUCACCAAGGCGACGAUCCGUAGCUGGUCUGAGAGGACGACCAGCCACGCUGGAACUGAGACACGGUCCAGACUCCUACGGGAGGCAGCAGUGGGGAAUUUUGGACAAUGGGCGGAAGCCUGAUCCAGCCAUUCCGCGUGAGUGAAGAAGGCCUUCGGGUUGUAAAGCACUUUCAGCGAGGAGGAAGGGGUUGUAGUUAAUAGCUGCAACCUUUGACGUUACUCGCAGAAGAAGCACCGGCUAACUCUGUGCCAGCCGCCGCCGUAAAAC